GUAAGUAUAGUUUAACCAAAAUAUUAGAUUGUGAUUCUAAAGACAGGAGUUAAAAUCUCAUUACUCACC
rnacentral:tRNA from 1 species